rnacentral:SRP_RNA from 10 species
CUUUUGCAGCGACGCCGAGCGCCGGGCGCGGUGGCGCGUGCCUGUAGUCCCAGCUACUCGGGAGGCUGAGGCUGGAGGAUCCCUUGAGUUCAGGAGUUCUGGGCUGUAGUGCGCUAUGCCGAUCGGGUGUCCGCACUGAGUUCGGCAUCAAUAUGGUGACCUCCCGGGAGCGGGGGACCACCAGGUUGCCUAAGGAGGGGUGAACCGGCCCAGGUCGGAAACGGAGCAGGUCAAAACUCCCGUGCUGAUCAGUAGUGGGAUUGCGCCUGUGAAUAGCCACUGCACUCCAGCCUGGGCAACAUAGUGAGACCCUGCCU